GAUGAACGCUGGCGGCGUGCCUAAUACAUGCAAGUCGAACGCACAGCGAAAGGUGCUUGCACCUUUCAAGUGAGUGGCGAACGGGUGAGUAACACGUGGACAACCUGCCUCAAGGCUGGGGAUAACAUUUGGAAACAGAUGCUAAUACCGAAUAAAACUCAGUGUCGCAUGACACAAAGUUAAAAGGCGCUUUGGCGUCACCUAGAGAUGGAUCCGCGGUGCAUUAGUUAGUUGGUGGGGUAAAGGCCUACCAAGACAAUGAUGCAUAGCCGAGGUGAGAGACUGAUCGGCCACAUUGGGACUGAGACACGGCCCAAACUCCUACGGGAGGCUGCAGUAGGGAAUCUUCCACAAUGGGCGAAAGCCUGAUGGAGCAACGCCGCGUGUGUGAUGAGGCUUUCGGGUCGUAAAGCACUGUUGUAUGGGAAGAACAGCUAGAAUAGGGAAUGAUUUUAGUUUGACGGUACCAUACCAGAAAGGGACGGCUAAAUACGUGCCAGCCGCCGCUGUAA
rnacentral:rRNA from 1 species